AUGCUCUGCGUCGCCCUCGUCCUCACGUCCCUGAUCUGGUCAGCCGCGCCCACGGCUGGCUCAGCCCGAGAUGGCCGCCGGCAGCAGCUCACCGUGCUGCCGCCGAGGGGCUGGAACUCGUACGACUCCUUCUCGUGGAUCAUUGACGAGGCUGCGUUCCUCGACAACGCGCGGAUCAUGGCCAACAGGCUGCUCCCGCAUGGAUACCAGUACGCGGUGAUAGACUUCCUGUGGUACCGGAGGAUUGCCGCCGGUUCGGGGGUGGGCGCAUACGGCUUCGACAGCAUGGACCAGUGGGGGCGCCCGUACCCUGACCCCCGGAGGUUCCCGUCGGGCCGAGGCGGCGGAGGGUUCAGGCCGAUCGCUGAUAAGGUCCAUGCCAUGGGCUUGAAGUUUGGCAUCCACCUCAUGAAUGGGAUCAGCACCCAGGCCGUCAACGCCAACACGCCCAUCCUCGACGCCCGCACGGGAAAAGCCUAUGUAGAGAAUGGCCGACAAUGGAGGACACGUGACAUAGGCCUCACCCACAGGACAUGUGCGUGGAUGCCGAAAGGAUUUAUGAGUGUAAAUACGUACCUUGGAGCUGGACGAGCAUUCCUAAGGUCUCUCUACCGACAGUAUGCCGACUGGGGCGUCGAUUUCGUGAAGCUAGAUUGCAUCUUUGGCACGGAUUAUAGCCCGAAAGAGAUUGUGACCCUCCAUUCUAUCCUGAAAGAGCUUGAGAGACCAGUCGUCCUAUCCAUCUCCCCCGGAACCGCUGUCACUCCAGCAUUAGCUGAGAAUAUCACACAACAUGUUGACAUGUACAGGGUAACAGGAGAUGACUGGGACAGCUGGAAAGAUGUUCGCCCACAUUUCGAUGUCGCCAGAUCAUUUGCUGCUGCGAAUAAGAUUGGAGCCCCCGGAUUGCGAGGGAGGUCUUGGCCAGACUUAGACAUGCUUCCAUUUGGCUGGCUUACUGAUGCAGGUGCUAAUCAGGGCCCUCACAGAACCACUAGCCUUACAUUUGACGAACAAACAACACAGAUGGUACUUUGGUCAAUGGCUAAAUCACCACUCAUGUAUGAAGGGGACUUGAGGCAUCUUGAUGAUCGCACAUUCAAUCUAAUUACCCACCCUACUCUACUGAAGAUAAAUCACCACACUAGAAACAACAUGGAGUUUGGUUAUAUUCAUAGUGAGAGGGCUUCAAAGCCAGAUGAACAAUCCGGUCGCUCAAAGUCCGGCUAUCCGAUGGACGUGACAAACAAUGGUGGAACUGUUCUUGGUCUCGGUACAUGCAGUGAUAGGAGCGCCAGUGGAUGGUACAGUAUCUCAAAAGAUCACAUUUGCAGAAGCUAUGGAAUCCAGAACGGCAAUGCAUCAUUCUGCAUAUCCAAAGCGAAACUUCUGCCAACAUCGUAA
rnacentral:rRNA from 1 species